rnacentral:rRNA from 1 species
UACGUAGGGUGCAAGCGUUAAUCGGAAUUACUGGGCGUAAAGCGUGCGCAGGCGGUUUUGUAAGUCUGUCGUGAAAUCCCCGGGCUUAACCUGGGAAUGGCGAUGGAGACUGCAAGGCUAGAGUUUGGCAGAGGGGGGUAGAAUUCCACGUGUAGCAGUGAAAUGCGUAGAGAUGUGGAGGAACACCGAUGGCGAAGGCAGCCCCUUGGGUCAAAACUGACGCUCAUGCACGAAAGCGUGGGGAGCAAACAGG